rnacentral:rRNA from 1 species
UAGGGAAUCUUCGGCAAUGGGGGGAACCCUGACCGAGCAACGCCGCGUGAGUGAAGAAGGUUUUCGGAUCGUAAAGCUCUGUUGUUAAGGAAGAACGAGUGUGAGAAUGGAAAGUUCAUACUGUGAAGGUACUUAACCAGAAAGGGACGGCUAACUACGUGCCAGCAGCCGCGGUAAUACGUAGGUCCCGAGCGUUGUCCGGAUUUAUUGGGCGUAAAGCGAGCGCAGGCGGUUAGAAAAGUCUGAAGUGAAAGGCAGUGGCUCAACCAUUGUAGGCUUUGGAAACUGUUUAACUUGAGUGCAGAAGGGGAGAGUGGAAUUCCAUGUGUAGCGGUGAAAUGCGUAGAUAUAUGGAGGAACACCGGUGGCGAAAGCGGCUCUCUGGUCUGUAACUGACGCUGAGGCUCGAAAGCGUGGGGAGCGAACAGG